AUUGAACGCUGGCGGCCGGCCUAACACAUGCAAGUCGAACGAGUGGCGGACGGGUGAGUAAUGUCUGGGAAACUGCCUGAUGGAGGGGGAUAACUACUGGAAACGGUAGCUAAUACCGCAUAACAUCAGAUGUGCCCAGAUGGGUUUAGCUAGUUGGUGUGGUAACGGCUCACCAAGGCGACGAUCCCUAGCUGGUCUGAGAGGAUUACCAGCCACAUUGGAACGGAGACACGGGCCAGACUCGAACGGGGGGCAGCAGUGGGAAAUAUUGCACAAUGGGCGCAAGCUUGAUGCAGCACUGCCGCGUGUAUGAAGAAGGCCUUCGGGUUGUAAAGUACUUUCAGCGGGGAGGCGUUACCCGCAGAAGAAGCACCGGCUAACUCCGUGCCAGCAGCCGCGGUAAUAC
rnacentral:rRNA from 1 species